GCCGAGUCUGAACGGAAAUGGUGGUCUUUAUAUUUUUAAAUUAGUGUUCCUUUUUUUCUCCGAGCGUUCCCGGCUGCGCAUUUGAGUUCUUCUUCUGGCUGACGAUUCGGGUGUUAUGCAAUCAGCGCGAUAAUUUCAACAUCUCUAGAAUAAUAAAAAUCCACAUGGAAAUAAGUUAAGGAUGUGCAUAUCCAGUUUUAA